rnacentral:rRNA from 1 species
CCUACGGGAGGCAGCAGUGAGGAAUAUUGGUCAAUGGACGCAAGUCUGAACCAGCCAUGCCGCGUGCAGGAAGACGGCUCUAUGAGUUGUAAACUGCUUUUGUACGAGGGUAAACGCAGAUACGUGUAUCUGGCUGAAAGUAGCGUACGAAUAAGGAUCGGCUAACUCCGUGCCAGCAGCCGCGGUAAUACGGAGGAUUCAAGCGUUAUCCGGCUUUAUUGGGUUUCAAGGGUGCGUAGGCGGUCGGAUAAGUUAGAGGUGAAAUCCCGAGGCUCAACUUCGGAAUUGCCUCUGAUACGGUUCGGCUAGAGUGUAGUUGCGGUAGGCGGAAUGUUUGGUGUAGCGG